rnacentral:rRNA from 1 species
GAUGAACGCUGGCGGCGUGCCUAAUACAUGCAAGUCGAGCGAAGGUAUUCUGGUGCUUGCCCCUGAACAACUUCGCCGCGCACGGGUGUGUAACACGUAUAGCACCCGCCUCAUACACUGGGACAACUAUUGGAAACGAUAGCUAAUACCGGAUAACUUCAUUAACUGCAGGGUUGAUGUUUAAAAGUUGGUUUUGCUAACACUAUGAGAUGGCUUUGCGGUGCAUUAGCUAGUCGGUGGGGCAAAGGCCUACCAAGGCGACGAUGCAUAGCCGACCUGAGAGGGUGAUCGGCCACACUGGGACUGAGACACGGCCCAGACUCCUACGGGAGGCAGCAGUGGGGAAUCUUCCGCAAUGGGAGAAGGCCAGACGGAGCAACGCCGCGUGAGUGAAGAAGGGUUUGGGUUCGUAAUGGUCUGUUGUUAGGGAAGAAUGAUUAUGUAGUCACCGUACGCGGUAGAGACGGUACCUAAUCAGAAAGCCACGGCUAACUACGUG